UCUUAUGCUUCCAAAAUAGUGUACGGGAUUAGGGCUUGUACCCUAGCUGCUAUGGAUAUGAGUUUCAAGAAUCAUUUGGUUAUCCUAAUGUUCAUGGUGGAUGGAAUCGUUAAUUUUUCUGUUAAUUUCGAUAUUUAUAUGGUAUUUUCGAUGAAUUUAGUUCACGAACUAUUGUCAAUGGAUUUUCCGACUCGAUCCAGAGUACUGCGGCCGUGAUUUCCCUGUUUAAAAGUUAAUAUUAUAACAAGAAUGACAAAAUAAAAAAUAAAAAUGAUGACAGCGGGUAGAAGUAAUGAAGUGGAAACUUCAACAGACAAAUGGUUGGUUCAAAAAAGAAAAUCAUCGAAGUCUAUCGAUGAAUCAACAACUACAACUUCACAAGAAAAAGAAAAAAAAGGAAUCUAUGUAAAAAAGAGAAUCGGUGAUGGAAAAUAUGUUAAAGGAGUGACAAAGAUUAAAGAAGCAAAAAGGAAGAAGAAUAGUGAGGACAAUCGUACAGCAAUAAAGAAGCAAAAAACCAUCAAAGAGAAAAAGACUGUGAAAGAUGCUGUCAAAGAGAAAAACCGUCAAGGAGUUGCCUUCAAUAAACACUAGAUCGACACCUGGAUUGAUGACAGAUGCUGUAAGUUCUUUGACAUUAGAACAAAAAGAGUGGGUAAAACGGAUGAGAUUUAAAGCAUUUUUGAAGAUCAACAUUAAGAGUAUUCCCUUAAAACUUUGCCAUUUUAUGCUUGAGCAUUAUGAUGAAGGCACAAACAGUAUUCUGAUUAAAGGAAAAAGAAUAAAGAUCAGAAAGGAAAAAAAUUCAUAAAGUGUUUGGUUUACCCAAAACUAGAAAAGGCUUAUUUGACUUGGACAUGGUUAGUGAAGAUCAUCAAGUGUUUGAUGGAUGGAUGAAGGAACUUGAAGGUGGAAAGGCAAAUGCAACAAACUACAAGAAGAUUAUUCAAAAAUCCGAACAGGUAGAUAUGAAUUUCAAGCUGGGUUUCAUCGCUUUAUUUGUUAAUACGUUUGCAGAAUCCAUUCCUAUGGGGACAAACAACUUAGUUCCAGUUAGAGUACUUGUUGAAGUAGAUGACAUUUCUAAAAUCGAUUGGUGUGCGUAUUUAUUGUACUGUGUAAAAAAUUCAAAAGGGAGAUGGCGUCCAGACAACCCCAAGUGUUAUUACAGAGGCUCGCUUUUGUUGCUGUUGCUAAUUUACUGUGAUGAAAUUGAAUGCAAGCUCCAAAAAAUAGAACGUAAAACACCAUUAGUUACGAUGUGAACAACAGAUAAGUUGAAGGAAAGACAAUCUUUUGAGAUUAAAGCUGGUAGAUUUGGGGUUGGAAAUCUAAUUGAACAAAGUUCAAAUUUAGAACGUGAGAAGAAUGAGAAUUAGAAGAAUGAGAAUCAGGACACACGUAUUGAGGAGUAUGAAGAAAAGUAUGAACAAUUUUCAACAAUGUCUCAACUGAAAAGGAUAAUAUGGAAGAUAUUAUCUUGCAUUGUCUAUCGAAAUUCUCUGAAGACAAUAGAACGAAGGAGAUGAUAAGGAAGUUUAGAGACAUAUUUUCAGCUACAUUUUUUUCUAGUCGAGAAAAGGGUAAUAAAUAGGAUUUGAUAGAAGUUUGGAAUUACUUAAACGUAGUUAUGGUGACUAAACAACAGUUCCUUUUGUAAUAUCUAUCUUAUUUUGAACAAAUUAUACAAAAAAAUGUUGUCUAGUAUUAUGUAAGAAAUUUGAUAUGGUUUAUUAGGUGAUUAAUGCUUAAUGAAUAGUUGGUAAUA